rnacentral:lncRNA from 1 species
UUUCAAUUACCAUACUCUACAAAACAACAAAUCAUAAAAAAUUUGGAAGACCAAGCAAAGAAGAAAAGCAAGAGAGACCUUUCCACAGUAAUUUACCACCGCCGAAAUCUGAUUGUUCGAAAAUUAUCAGACUACUGCAAUCACAAAUUGAAAGCUAUCAGAAGAAAGAACAAAGAUAGAAUUUAUAGAGUACUCGUCGGAGCAAAUAACUUCGAAACCUGGUUAAUUGAAAUAUGUCGGAUAAUUUAAGUUAAAAGUUGGAAGUUGUCGGCACUAUGUACUAAAAGAUCGAACAAGAAAAAGAUUUACAGAGAACUCAUCAAAGCAAAUAACUUCAAUUCUCAUUGUCAAAAUCUGGUUAAUUGAAAUUCGUCGGACAUUUGGGUUCACAAAUUAGAAGUUGUUGGCACUGUGUAUCAGAAUUUUUGAAGGCAACGAUCGAGAAAUCAAUGGCAUGUGACCAGUUCUCUUGAAUUUGUGACCUAUGACCUGUAAAUUGUGAUAUUGAUCCAAUGGCCCGUCACCAAUUCUCUUGGAUCUUUGGUCACCUAUAACCUAUAACAUAUAAGUUGUAACCUAUUAUCAGUGCACGAAAAUAUACGACUCUGAUAUGUGACCAAUAAAUUUUGAUUCGUGGUCUAUUGGCAUUGAUCUGUGACCUAUAUAAUAUGAUCUGUGAAGUGCAAUAUGUGACCUAUGAACAUAAAUUAGUGAUAUGUGACCAGAUGGACAUGUGGCAUUUGAUCCGUGACCAAUUAAUUUUGAUAUGUGACCUGUUGACAUUAAUCUAUAGCCUAUAUAAUAUGAUUUGUGAAAUGUGACCUGUGAACUAAACAUGUGACUUGUAAACAUAAAUGGGUGAUUUGUGAUCAAUUCUAUUUGAUCUGUGACAUGUGGACAUUGGGUUGUCCACAUGUGAACAAAUAUGUGACCUUUAAACUGUGAACAAAUAGUGAGUCCUGAUUACAAAUUUA